CAACCCUCAAGCCCUGGUUGCUUGGUGCUGGAGCUUCUUGUAGUGUAUAGCUACAAGUCUCUGAAAGACAUUGGCAGGAUUUUUAUAAACCCAAACGUAGUAAACUUAUUUCGUUUAGGGCGUUAUAGAGGUUCUUAAGCCGUAAAACACUAUAUUUUAUAU
rnacentral:misc_RNA from 1 species